GACGAACGCUGGCGGCGUGCUUAACACAUGCAAGUCGAACGGAAAGGCCCUGCUUUUGUGGGGUGCUCGAGUGGCGAACGGGUGAGUAACACGUGAGUAACCUGCCCUUGACUUUGGGAUAACUUCAGGAAACUGGGGCUAAUACCGGAUAGGAGCUCCUGCUGCAUGGUGGGGGUUGGAAAGUUUCGGCGGUUGGGGAUGGACUCGCGGCUUAUCAGCUUGUUGGUGGGGUAGUGGCUUACCAAGGCUUUGACGGGUAGCCGGCCUGAGAGGGUGACCGGCCACAUUGGGACUGAGAUACGGCCCAGACUCCUACGGGAGGCGGCAGUGGGGAAUAUUGCACAAUGGGCGGAAGCCUGAUGCAGCAACGCCGCGUGCGGGAUGACGGCCUUCGGGUUGUAAACCGCUUUCGCCUGUGACGAAGCGUGAGUGAGGGUAAUGGGUAAAGAAGCACCGGCUAACUACGUG
rnacentral:rRNA from 1 species